rnacentral:lncRNA from 10 species
AGUUUGGGAGCCUGGGAAGUACAAAAUCAAGGCGCCAGCAGAUUUCAGUGUCUGGAGAAAACCUGCUUCCUCAAAGGUCUUGACGUUGGGAAGUAAAAGAUCAGAGUGCUGGCAGAUUUUGGUGUCUAGUAAAGGACGGCUUUCUAGUGUAUAGAUAACACCUUCUAUCCAUGUCCUCACAUGGUGAAAAAGUGACUGUAAGUUUCCUGAGGCCUCCCCAGAAGCAGAAGCCUGUAUACUCGGCAGAAGUGUGCUUAUUGAAAUACUCAACUUUCAUGAUGCUCUGAUGGCUUUGGCAGACACUGCCCCAACUUCUUCAGGUGGUUUUCUCCCUUACCAGGGAGACUGUUGUUCAGGCGGCAGGACUGGCAACUCAGUAUGUGGUUUGCUUAUAAACCUGUGAACACA